GAUGAACGCUAGCGGCAGGCUUAACACAUGCAAGUCGAGGGGUAGAUGCAGCUUGCUGCAUUGAGACCGGCGCACGGGUGCGUAACGCGUAUGCAAUCUGCCUUGUACUGGGGGAUAGCCCAGAGAAAUUUGGAUUAAUACCCCAUGGUAUUUUGGUGUGGCAUCACACUAUUAUUAAAGAUUUAUCGGUACAAGAUGAGCAUGCGUCCCAUUAGUUAGUUGGUAAGGUAACGGCUUACCAAGACGAUGAUGGGUAGGGGUCCUGAGAGGGAGAUCCCCCACACUGGUACUGAGACACGGACCAGACUCCUACGGGAGGCAGCAGUGAGGAAUAUUGGUCAAUGGGCGCAAGCCUGAACCAGCCAUGCCGCGUGCAGGAUGACUGCCCUAUGGGUUGUAAACUGCUUUUAUACGGGAAGAAACCCCUCCACGUGUGGAGGAUUGACGGUACCGUAAGAAUAAGGAUCGGCUAACUCCGUG
rnacentral:rRNA from 1 species